rnacentral:lncRNA from 1 species
CUUUUUAUACGACCGCAAAAUUUGAAAAUUUUUUCGUCGUAUAUUGCUAUCAUGUUGGCGUCGCCGUCGUCGUCUGCGUCGUCAUCGUCGGCGUCGUCGUCGUCGUCGUCAUCGUCCGAAUACUUUUAGUUUUCGCACUCUAACUUUAGUAAAAGUGAAUGGAAAUCUAUGAAAUUUUAACACAAGGUUUAUGACCACAAAAGGAAGGUUGGUAUUGAUUUUGGGAGUUUUGGUCCCAACAUUUAGGAAUUAGGGGCCAAAAAGGGCCCAAAUAAGCAUUUUCUUGGUUUUCGCACUAUAACUUUAGUUUAAGUUAAUAGAAAUCUAUGAAAUUUUGACACAAGGUUUAUCACCACAAAAGAAAGGUUGGGAUUGAUUUUGGGAGUUUUGGUUUCAACAGUUUAGGAAUUAGGGGCCAAAAAAGGGCCCAAAUAAGCAUUAUUCUUGGUUUUCGCACAAUAACUUUAGUUUAAGUAAAUAGAAAUCAAUGAAAUUUAAACACAAUGUUAAUGACCACAAAAGGAAGGUUGGUAUUGAUUUUGGGAGUUUAGGUCCCAACAGUUUAGGAAUUAGGGGCCAAAAAGGGACCCAAAUAAGCAUUUUUCUUGGUUUUCGCACCAUA